rnacentral:lncRNA from 1 species
GGCUCUGCCCUCUCCCUCGGGGCAUUUGCACCUGCUGGAAUGUGCUUUCCUCACACUCUUUCGGAGAUAAUAUCUCCUCAUCCUUCAGCUCUGAGCGCAAAUGUUACCCCUCCCCCAAAGGGGCCCUUCUCUGGCCACUCCAUCUAUUUUUUUUAAUGUUUAUUUAUGUAUUCAUGAGAGAGAGAGAGAGACAGACAGACAGACAGACAGACACAGAAUCUGAAGUAGGCUCCAGGCUCUCAGCUGUCAGCACAGAGCCCGACACAGGGCUCGAACUCAUGAACUGUGAGAUCAUGACCUGAGCCGAAGUCAGACGCUUAACCGACUGAGCCACCCAGGAGCCCCCUGACCACUCCGUCUAGAACAGACCCCCACUGUCCUCCACAUAUUUUAUUCCAUCACACAGAACAACUUGUGUCUGUAUUUGCAUAUUCACUUUCUCAUUCACUCGCGUGUCCCCUGUGCUCAACAGGGUCAUGCAUUCACUUGGAAUGGAUGAGAAGAAAAAGGUGCCUCUUCUGGACGCGGGACGAGUGCCUUGCACACCUCACGGUCCCCUAGAGGGCGGCCCAGUCCCGCAGGCCAUCUGGAGUUGUUUUUCUCUGCAUGGCCAGGCACCUAAACUCCAUACAGUGGGAUGUGUGCAGUUUCAGAAUUAUACCUUCAAAAAGAAGGAAGCAUGCGAACCUGUCCCCCCUCCCCUCUUCCUGCUAGCUGUAAUGCCGAUGUAAUGGUAUGGUCUGGAUCACGUGUUGGAUCCCAGAUAGAAGCGCUUGUUGAAGAUGACUGACCAACAAUAGAGAAUGACUCCUUGAGACCGUGGAGGCAUCAUAUCAACCUUGGAUUGUGAACAUCAUGUCAACCUUGUAGAAAAAUAAACCGUCAUCUUGUCUAGGCCUGCA